AUACGUAGGGAGCGAGCGUUGUCCGGAAUUACUGGGUGUAAAGGGUGCGUAGGCGGUUUGCUAAGCGGGAGGUGAAAUGCCGGCGCUCAACGUCGGAAGUGCCUCCCGAACUGGUGGACUGGAAUGACUCUGCCGUGGGAGGAAUGUGUAGUGUAGCGGUGAAAUGCUUAGAGAUUACACAGAACACCGAUUGCGAAGGCAUCUCACGAAGGGUUGAUUGACGCUGAGGCACGAAAGCGUGGGGAUCAAACAGGAUUAGAUACCCUGGUAGUCCACGCAGUAAACGAUGAUGGCUAACCGCUGGUUUAUUCGGAUCAGUGGCCAAGCGAAAGCGAUAAGCCAUCCACCUGGGGAGUACGACCGCAAGGUUGAAACUCAAAUGAAUUGGCGGGG
rnacentral:rRNA from 1 species